UACGGAGGUGGCUAGCGUUGUUCGGAAUUACUGGGCGUAAAGGGCGCGUAGGCGGCAUGGCAAGUCAGAUGUGAAAGCCCCGGGCUUAACUCGGGAACUGCAUCUGAAACUGCUUUGCUUGAGUCCUGGAGGGGGUAGUGGAAUUCCCAGUGUAGCGGUGAAAUGUGUAGAGAUCGGGAGGAACACCGGUGGCGAAGGCGGGUCUCUGGGCAUCUCCUGACGCUGAGGCGCGAAAGCGUGGGGAGCAAACGGG
rnacentral:rRNA from 1 species